UAAGAUGGCUGAGCGCCAAGCGGUGGAUUGUAGCCCCAUGUACAGAGGUUAAACCCCUCUUCUUAU
rnacentral:tRNA from 1 species